rnacentral:rRNA from 1 species
UACGAAGGGGGCUAGCGUUGUUCGGAUUUACUGGGCGUAAAGCGCACGUAGGCGGUUUGUUAAGUCAGGGGUGAAAUCCCGGAGCUCAACUCCGGAACUGCCUUUGAUACUGGCAAGCUAGAGUCCGGAAGAGGUAAGUGGAACUCCUAGUGUAGAGGUGGAAUUCGUAGAUAUUAGGAAGAACACCAGUGGCGAAGGCGGCUUACUGGUCCGGAACUGACGCUGAGGUGCGAAAGCGUGGGGAGCAAAC